GCCGGACUCUUUGAGUCUGAUUUUGCUGGAAACGGGAAGGAAGAAGACUCCGACUAGGAGUCUUCCUCCUCCUCUGUAUUUUUUUUUUUUGUUGAGCCGUCUGGGCUACAGGCCCAAGUAACUGGGCUGUUACAAUUACUGUCACCAUAGGCAUUUUUAGGCGACAGUAUUAUAUUUUCUGUUACCUAAAGCUAUAUCUAUGUUGAUGAAACUCUAUCUUCGUCACUAAAUGCUGAACCACCCUACCAA
rnacentral:lncRNA from 1 species